CCCUAGUACGGCGAGUGAAGCGGGAAGAGCUCAAAUUUGAAAUCUGGUGGCCUCAGGUCAUCCGAGUUGUAAUCUAUAGAAGUGUUUUCCGUGCUGGCUCAUGUACAAGUCCCUUGGAACAGGGCGUCAUAGAGGGUGAGAAUCCCGUCCUUGACAUGAACUACCAGUGCUCUGUGAUACAUUUUCAACGAGUCGAGUUGUUUGGGAAUGCAGCUCAAAAUGGGUGGUAAAUUCCAUCUAAAGCUAAAUAUUGGCGAGAGACCGAUAGCGAACAAGUACCGUGAGGGAAAGAUGAAAAGCACUUUGGAAAGAGAGUUAAACAGUAUGUGAAAUUGUUGAAAGGGAAACGAUUGAAGUCAGUCGUGCUCUUUGGAUUCAGCCGGUUCUGCCGGUGUACUUCCUUUGAGUGGGGUCAACAUCAGUUUUGAUCGCUGGAUAAAGGCUGGAGGAACGUAGUACCCUCGGGUAAACUUAUAGCCUCCUGUCACAUACAGUGGUUGGGACUGAGGAACGCAGCACGCCUUUAUGGCCGGGAUUCGUCCACGUACGUGCUUAGGAUGUUGACAUAAUGGCUUUAAACGACCCGUCUAAC
rnacentral:rRNA from 1 species